rnacentral:rRNA from 1 species
UAUUGCACAAUGGGGGGAACCCUGAUGCAGCGACGCCGCGUGAGUGAAGAAUUAUUUCGGUAUGUAAAGCUCUAUCAGCAGGGAAGAAAAUGACGGUACCUGACAAAGAAGCCCCGGCUAACUACGUGCCAGCCGCCGCGGUAAUACGUAGGGGGCAAGCGUUAUCCGGAUUUACUGGGUGUAAAGGGAGCGUAGACGGCAGAGCAAGUCUGAAGUGAAAGCCUGCGGCCCAACUGCGGGACUGCUUUGGAAACUGCCCGGCUAGAGUGCUGGAGAGGUAAGCGGAAUUCCUAGUGUAGCGGUGAAAUGCGUAGAUAUUAGGAGGAACACCAGUGGCGAAGGCGGCUUACUGGACAGUAACUGACGCUGAGGCUCGAAAGUGUGGGGAGCAAACAGG